AACGAACGCUGGCGGCAUGCCUAACACAUGCAAGUCGAACGAGACCUUCGGGUCUAGUGGCGCACGGGUACGUAACGCGUGGGAACCUGCCCUUAGGUUCGGAAUAACUCCCCGAAAGGGGUGCUAAUACCGGAUAAUGCCUUCGGACCAAAGAUUUAUCGCCUUUGGAUGGGCCCGCGUUGGAUUAGCUAGUUGGUAGGGUAAAAGCCUACCAAGGCGACGAUCCAUAGCUGGUCUGAGAGGAUGAUCAGCCACACUGGGACUGAGACACGGCCCAGACUCCUACGGGAGGCAGCAGUGGGGAAUAUUGGACAAUGGGCGAAAGCCUGAUCCAGCAAUGCCGCGUGAGUGAUGAAGGCCUUAGGGUUGUAAAGCUCUUUUACCCGGGAUGAUAAUGACAGUACCGGGAGAAUAAGCGCCGGCUAACUCCGUG
rnacentral:rRNA from 1 species